rnacentral:lncRNA from 1 species
UGUAUGGUCCACAUUUUACCUAUAAAUUUGGUCGUCGUAAUUUAAGUUAUUAACAAAUGCAAAUGAAGACCGGCACCAUGUGUAGGAGGCCAUAAAGCUAAAUUUGGUUGUCGAAACUUUUUAAAUAGUUACAAAUGAAGACUUGUUUUGAGUCUAAUAAUGGACAAUUUUAAUCUAAAGGGUCCUUUAUCUAAAAAAAAAGAUAUCGAUCUAGUUUUGCAUGUGUAGCUACAAUAGUUUUAAUAUUUAUUUUGUAAAGACAGACUUUGUGUGGAUGGAUUUAUGCCCACGAAACGAGGCCACGAUGACAGGAUUUUUCCAUUGAUAAAUUACUGAAUUGUACUUGUACGUUCAUAUUCGUUGAUUUGUUAUAAAAAAAAUAUUGUUAAAUGACUAGCAGAUUCGAUAGAUAAACUCAAGCGAACAAGUAAUACUAAAUAUUUAUAUAUACCUAAUUAGAAUUUAGAAGGUAAGAAAAAAACUAUAUUACUAAUAGUAUACUAUUCCUAUGGUGCUAAGGG